rnacentral:rRNA from 2 species
UACGGAGGGAUCUAGCGUUAUUCGGAAUUACUGGGCGUAAAGCGAGCGUAGGCUGAUUUGUAAGUUGGAUGUGAAAUCCCAGAGCUUAACUCUGGAACUGCAUCCAAAACUAUAUUUCUUGAGUUUGGUAGAGGAGAGUGGAAUUCCUAGUGUAGAGGUGAAAUUCGUAGAUAUUAGGAGGAACACCAGUGGCGAAGGCGACUCUCUGGGCCAAUACUGACGCUGAGGUUCGAAAGCGUGGGUAGCGAACAGG